GACGUAGGUGGCGAACGUUAUCCGGAUUUAUUGGGCGUAAAGGGCUCGUAGGCGGUUUGUCGCGUCGGGAGUGAAAUCCACUGGCUUAACUGGUGGCUUGCUUUCGAUACGGGCAGACUGGAGGUAUGCAGGGGAGAACGGAAUUCCUGGUGUAGCGGUGAAAUGCGCAGAUAUCAGGAGGAACACCGGUGGCGAAGGCGGUUCUCUGGGCAUGUCCUGACGCUGAGGAGCGAAAGUGUGGGGAGCGAACAGG
rnacentral:rRNA from 1 species